rnacentral:rRNA from 1 species
GACGAACACUGGCGGCGUGCUUAACACAUGCAAGUCGAACGGUAAGGCCCUUCGGGGUACACGAGUGGCGAACGGGUGAGUAACACGUGGGUGAUCUGCCCUGCACUUCGGGAUAAGCCUGGGAAACUGGGUCUAAUACCGGAUAGGACUCCUGGCUUCAUGGUUGGGGGUGGAAAGCUUUUGCGGUGUGGGAUGGGCCCGCGGCCUAUCAGCUUGUUGGUGGGGUAAUGGCCUACCAAGGCGACGACGGGUAGCCGGCCUGAGAGGGUGACCGGCCAAACUGGGACUGAGAUACGGCCCAGACUCCUACGGGAGGCAGCAGUGGGGAAUAUUGCACAAUGGGCGCAAGCCUGAUGCAGCGACGCCGCGUGAGGGAUGACGGCCUUCGGGUUGUAAACCUCUUUCAGUAGGGACGAAGCGCAAGUGACGGUACCUACAGAAGAAGGACCGGCCAACUACGUGCCAGCCGCCGCCGUAA